rnacentral:rRNA from 1 species
AUUGAACGCUGGCGGCAUGCUUUACACAUGCAAGUCGAACGGCAGCGCGGGCUUCGGCCUGGCGGCGAGUGGCGAACGGGUGUGUAAUGCAUCGGAACUUGCCCAGUAGUGGGGGAUAGCCCGGCGAAAGCCGGAUUAAUACCGCAUACGACCUGAGGGUGAAAGCGGGGGACCGAAAGGCCUCGCGCUAUUGGAGCGGCCGAUGUCGGAUUAGCUAGUUGGUGGGGUAAAGGCUUACCAAGGCGACGAUCCGUAGCUGGUCUGAGAGGACGACCAGCCACACUGGGACUGAGACACGGCCCAGACUCCUACGGGAGGCAGCAGUGGGGAAUUUUGGACAAUGGGGGCAACCCUGAUACAGCCAUGCCGCGUGCGGGAAGAAGGCCUUCGGGUUGUAAAACGCUUUUGUUCGGGAAGAAAACCUCUGGGCUAAUACCCCGGGGGGAUGACGGUACCGGAAGAAUAAGCACCGGCUAACUACGUG